AUUGAACGCUGGCGGCAUGCCUUACACAUGCAAGUCGAACGGUAACGCGGGGCAACCUGGCGACGAGUGGCGAACGGGUGAGUAAUGCAUCGGAACGUGCCCGGUAGUGGGGGAUAACUGCUCGAAAGAGCAGCUAAUACCGCAUACGACCUGAGGGUGAAAGGGGGGGAUCGCAAGACCUCUCGCUAUCGGAGCGGCCGAUGUCGGAUUAGCUAGUUGGUGGGGUAAAGGCCUACCAAGGCGACGAUCCGUAGCUGGUCUGAGAGGACGACCAGCCACACUGGGACUGAGACACGGCCCAGACUCCUACGGGAGGCAGCAGUGGGGAAUUUUGGACAAUGGACGCAAGUCUGAUCCAGCCAUGCCACGUGCGGGAAGAAGGCCUUCGGGUUGUAAACCGCUUUUGUCAGGGAAGAAAUCUUCUGAGUUAAUACCUCGGGAGGAUGACGGUACUUGAAGAAUAAGCACCGGCUAACUACGUGCCAGCAGCCGCCGUAAAAC
rnacentral:rRNA from 1 species